AGAGUUUGAUCCUGGCUCAGAACGAACGCUGGCGGCGUGGAUAAGACAUGCAAGUCGAACGCUGAUUUCAGGGUAGCAAUAUUCUGAAGUCGGAGUGGCGCAAGGGUGCGUAACACGUGGGCAAUCUACCGUGAAGUUGGGAAUAACUUGCUGAAAGGCAAGCUAAUACCGAAUGUGAAAAUUAGGAGGCAUCUCUGGAUUUUCAAAGUUAGGGACCGUAAGGCCUGACGCUUCACGAUGAGCCCGCGGCCUAUCAGCUAGUUGGUGAGGUAACGGCUCACCAAGGCUUAGACGGGUAGCUGGUCUGAGAGGACGACCAGCCUCACUGGAACUGAGACACGGUCCAGACACCUACGGGUGGCAGCAGUCGAGAAUUUUUCACAAUGGGCGAAAGCCUGAUGGAGCGACGCCGCGUGGGGGAUGAAGGGCUUCGGCCCGUAAACCCCUGUCAUUUGCGAACAAACCUUUCCGCCUAACAUGCGGAGAGCUGAUUGUAGCGAAAGAGGAAGGGACGGCUAACUCUGUGCCAGCAGCCGCGGUAAUACAGAGGUCUCAAGCGUUGUUCGGAUUCACUGGGCGUAAAGGGUGCGUAGGUGGUUGGGUAAGUCUAAUGUGAAAUCUCCGAGCUCAACUCGGAAAUGGCAUUGGAUACUAUCCGGCUGGAGGGUUGGAGGGGGGACUGGAAUUCUCGGUGUAGCAGUGAAAUGCGUAGAUAUCGAGAGGAACACCAGUGGCGAAGGCGAGUCCCUGGACAACAUCUGACACUGAGGCACGAAAGCUAGGGGAGCAAACAGGAUUAGAUACCCUGGUAGUCG
rnacentral:rRNA from 1 species